GCCUCGGUGGUGUAGUAAUAGUAGCACGCGUCCCCGGUAUGGAUGCAACACGGGUUCGAUUCUCUCCUGAGGCC